rnacentral:lncRNA from 1 species
GUAAAUUAUAUGAACUCCAAAAUCUCAUAUUAUAAGACUAGUAAACCACAGGCUUCUCAAUUCUUGUAUGAUAAUGAACUAGGUGAAAACCUAGAGCUGACCGAGUGCGAGAUCCUCAUGGAUAAUCAUCGAGGUCGUUAAACACCCCUUGCAGUAAACUUUGGUUAAAUUUAAAAAAAAAUCGAAAUGUAAUAGUCUGAACACAUUUCACCGCUCAUUCCACUAAAUAUUAAAUUGCAGUUACAAGUAUCACAAAACUUCCCUGACCUCUUUUCUUUAACCAUAAUAGAGGGAGGAGGGGAGGAGGGAUCCAGAUCCUGAAAUCCCGGGCUUAAAAACACGAAAUCCGGCGAGGUCCCGAAUUAAAAAAAAAAUCAAAUCCCGACUACCCGAAAUUCGGAAAUAGAAUUCCCGGAUCCCGGAGUUCCGAUAAAGGUCCUACCCCUCCCCCCCCGUAAUUCUAUAUUCUAUUCAUUCUUAAUCUUGAAUUGAGACUUGAUACUUCAAAAUUACAUUCUCUAAUUUUGAAUGAUGCACACAGGCACAAUAAAAGAAAACAGAUUUCGCUAUAUAUCUCUUCGAAAUUGGAAUUUGUGAAAGAAGAAAUGACAUGUUAUAUUUUAUCUUACAUGUGUACUUUCAAUUUCAAUAUGGUUCUAAAUUUAGAUUUAGUUUUCCCAUAAAUUGCGGACGGAAUAGAAGACACCUGUUUAUUUUCUGCACAUGUAGAAAAAGUUGAAAACUGGGAGUUGAAUGACAUAAUUUUUACUUAUUUUAAGAUAAAUGUUAGAAUUUUUAAGUUACUGAGUAAUUUUUGGGGCAUAAUUUGUUUAUUUUUUGUUUGUUUUCCGUCUUUGUUCUUCCGACUUGUAAGUGUUGCACUAGUGAUCAAAUUAUUCUCUUGGUAUCGUCUGAUUUCUUAUAUGAAUAUAAGUCAUGUCCUUAAAUUUUCAAUUGCACAAAAUACGAACAUUUCAACGUCUUUUUGAUUAAACAAUUAAAUUCACACGUCUUUCAUUAAUUAUUUGUAACCUAUUAUAAAACUUUACGUUGAGUACUGUGUUUUUCGUUCAAGACUACGGCUUUUUAAAACGAUAUUGUUGGGUCAAUUCAGGUUUCAUUUUAAUUAAUUUGAUAUCAAUAGAAGAAAAUUUGUUACAUGUUUAUUUGUUUAUUUGUUUAUAAUUUUGUUGUGAGGCGUUUUUUCUUUCUGUUGAUAUCAUAAACACGAAAUGCCUUCUCCUACGCGUCUAAAAAAAAAAAAAAAACAAAAAAAAAACAGUGUUUUUAAGUCAGGCUGCACACAGAACAACGUACAGAAUGCUGUGAUUUCUAAUUGGAGUUAUUUAGAUAAUUUCUAUGAGGUUUAAGACAGCACAGGCGUGCUUGUUGGAUUCAUUAUAGACCG